GAUGAACGCUAGCUACAGGCUUAACACAUGCAAGUCGAGGGGCAGCAUGGUCUUAGCUUGCUAAGACUGAUGGCGACCGGCGCACGGGUGAGUAACGCGUAUCCAACCUUCCGCAUACUCGGGAAUAGCCUUUCGAAAGAAAGAUUAAUGCCCGAUGGUUUCCCGAAUCCGCAUGAGAACGGGAAUAAAGAUUCAUCGGUGUGCGAUGGGGAUGCGUCCCAUUAGCUUGUUGGCGGGGUAACGGCCCACCAAGGCUACGAUGGGUAGGGGUUCUGAGAGGAAGGUCCCCCACAUUGGAACUGAGACACGGUCCAAACUCCUACGGGAGGCAGCAGUGAGGAAUAUUGGUCAAUGGGCGAGAGCCUGAACCAGCCAAGUAGCGUGAGGGAUGACCGCCCUACGGGUUGUAAACCUCUUUUAUAAGGGAAUAAAAUGAAGUACGCGUACUUCUUUGCAUGUACCUUAUGAAUAAGCAUCGGCUAACUCCGUGCCAGCAGCCGCGGUAAUACGGAGGAUGCGAGCGUUAUCCGGAUUUAUUGGGUUUAAAGGGAGCGCAGACGGGACUUUAAGUCAGCUGUGAAAUUUUCCGGCUCAACCGGGAAACUGCAGUUGAUACUGGCGUCCUUGAGUACGGUCGAGGCAGGCGGAAUUCGUGGUGUAGCGGUGAAAUGCUUAGAUAUCACGAAGAACCCCGAUUGCGAAGGCAGCCUGCCAGACCGCAACUGACGUUCAUGCUCGAAAGUGCGGGUAUCAAACAGG
rnacentral:rRNA from 1 species